rnacentral:rRNA from 1 species
AACCGUUCAGGGGUAAACCUGAGWAACCCGAAAGGUCGAAGGGGGAGAUUCAUAUGCGGUUCGUAGCGGCCGACGGUCGUGCCGCGCGACGGCGGGCGUUCGCGCUCGCCGCGCGCGCCGUCCGAAACGGCCGCGGCGAGCCCUUGCACUUCUCCCCCGGUAGGACGUCGCGAUCCGUUGGGUGCCGGUCUAAGGCCCGCGGUGGAGCCCGCCUCUCCCCUUCGCGGGGCGAGGGGCGGACCCGCGGUCGCCCGGCCGGCUCGCCCGACGGUAAGCAGGAGGCGCGGGGCCGCCGCAACAGUCGGCGUCCGGCCCGCGGCAAGCGCUCUCGUCGUGUUUCGGAGAUCGGACCUGGUGCCGAUCCCGACCGCGAGUGGCUGUUCGCCGCGGCGAUCUCGGACAGACCCCGUUCGAAACGCCGAUCCGCGGCGCUAUAGCUUUGGGUACUUUCAGGACCCGUCUUGAAACACGGACCAAGGAGUCUAGCAUGUGCGCGAGUCAUUGGGACCGACUAAUCCUAAAGGCGCAAUUAACGUGAAGGCCCGCCUCGCGCGGGCCGAGGGAAGAUGGGCGAUCCGCCGUGAUCGCCCCGCAUUCCCGGGGCGUCUCGUUCUCAUCGCGAGAAGAGGCGCACCGAGAGCGUACACGCUGGGACCCGAAAGAUGGUGAACUAUGCCUGGUCAGGACGAAGUCAGGGGAAACUCUGAUGGAGGUCCGUAGCGAUUCUGACGUGCAAAUCGAUCGUCGGAACUGGGUAUAGGGGCGAAAGACCAAUCGAACCGUCUAGUAGCUGGUUCCCUCCGAAGUUUCCCUCAGGAUAGCUGGCGCUCGUCAGACGAGUCUCAUCCGGUAAAGCGAAUGAUUAGAGGCAUUGGGGUCGAAACGACCUCAACCUAUUCUCAAACUUUAAAUGGGUGAGAUCUCCGGCUUGCUCGAACGUGAAGCCGCGAGAAUACACUUACUUCGGAUCAGAGUGCCAAGUGGGCCAUUUUUGGUAAGCAGAACUGGCGCUGUGGGAUGAACCAAACGCAGAGUUAAAGCGCCAAAAUCGACGCUUAUGGGAUACCAUGAAAGGCGUUGGUAACUUAAGACAGCAGGACGGUGGCCAUGGAAGUCGGAAUCCGCUAAGGAGUGUGUAACAACUCACCUGCCGAAGUUACUAGCCCUGAAAAUGGAUGGCGCUGAAGCGUCGUGCUCAUACUCUGCCGUCAGCGGCAUGUGCGGUCGUCACAUUUUGUGGCGUCCAUGAAGCCCUGACGAGUAGGAGGGUCGCGGCGGUGAGCGCAGAAGGGCUGGCCGUGGGGCCGUCUGGAGCCGCCGUCGGCGCAGAUCUUGGUGGUAGUAGCAAAUACUCCAGCGUGACCCUGGAGGACUGACGUGGAGAAGGGUUUCGUGUGAACAGCCGUUGCACACGAGUCAGUCGAUCCUAAGCCCUAGGCGAAAGCCGAUGUCGAUGCGGCGUCGUACCAGAGUUUGCUUGUGCGUGCGCGCCCGUCGGGCGAAAGGGAAUCCGGUUCCUAUUCCGGAACCCGGCAGCGGAACCGUCACCUUAUCGGGCCCUCGAAAGAGAGUUCGUCGGGGUAACCCAAAAGGACCCGGAGACGCCGUCGGGAGAUCCGGGAAGAGUUUUCUUUUCUGCAUGAGCGUUCGAGUUCCAUGGAAUCCUCUAGCAGGGAGAUAUGGUUUGGAACGCGAAGAGCACCGCAGUUGCGGCGGUGUCCGGAUCUUCCCCUCGGACCUUGAAAAUCCGGGAGAGGGCCACGUGGAGACGUCGCGCCGGCUCGUACCCAUAUCCGCAGCAGGUCUCCAAGGU